rnacentral:pre_miRNA from 1 species
GUGUGUAAAUUGUGUUCAGCACCAAGGACAGGUAUGUUAACAUGUGUGUGCGGAUGUUGUUCUGCACCAAGGACAGGUGUGUUUGCCU